rnacentral:tRNA from 1 species
GGUGUGGUGGCCGAAAUGGAUAGGCACGUGGCUGCAGACCACGACCAUGCGAGUUCGAGUCUCGCUCACACCU